rnacentral:lncRNA from 1 species
AAUCCCUUGUUGUUGACGAAAGUGACAGACUCACCAGCGGCAACGGAGAUAUCCUUGGGGUAGAACCCGAGGGCACCGUCGUCACCUCCCAUCUUCACGGUGGCGGCAUUGGCGGAGGCCACGAGCAGCAAGGAGCUGGAGGCGGCAAGGAGGGCCUUCCCGACGGUCUUCAAGGCAUCGCUGCUGGCCGAGGCACGGACGACGGGGGCCAUGCGCACCACGGAGGUGGAGGACAACCUAGCGGGGGCGGCCUUGGUCUCGGCCUUGAGGCCAGAAAAGGAGGGCACGGAGACAGCAGCAGCUGCGACGGACGCCAUGGAAGCAGAGGUGCGAUGACAAACGAGGCAACACUCACUAUCCACGAUGGAGGAAAAUACGCA